rnacentral:sRNA from 1 species
CAUAUACAGCUUGAUAAAUCUCUUCCUGCACCUCUGGGCACCAUAGGUGCCUGGCUGUACAGAGCAGAGGUGGCCCUGAGAGAGGAAAUAACCAUUCAACAGGUCCACGAGGAAACAGCAAACACGAUACAACGGAAACUUGAGCAACAUAAGAGAAAAUGCCUGACAAUGAUCUGCUUCAAAACACAGAUGCCCACAAAAGAGCAUUCCAUGAAAUCUACCGGACCAGGUCUGUUAACGGGAUUCCAGUGCCACCUGAUCAAUUAGAGGACAUGGCCGAGAGGUUUCAUUUUGUUUCCUCCACAUCAGAGCUACACCUAAUGAAAAUGGAAUUUUUAGAAUUAAAGUACCGUCUGCUCUCACUGCUGGUUCUUGCAGAGUCAAAGCUGAAGUCUUGGAUCAUUAAGUACGGGAGGAGAGAGUCAGUGGAGCAGCUUCUACAAAACUACGUGUCUUUUAUAGAAAAUAGCAAGUUCUUUGAACAAUAUGAAGUGACAUACCAGAUCUUGAAACAGACAGCUGAGAUGUAUGUCAAAGCAGAUGGUUCAGUGGAAGAAGCUGAGAAUGUGAUGAAAUUCAUGAAUGAAACCACCGCUCAGUGGAGGAAUCUCUCAGUAGAAGUUAGGAGUGUGAGGAGCAUGCUGGAAGAAGUGAUCUCUAACUGGGAUCGCUAUGGCAAUACAGUGGCUAGUCUGCAAGCCUGGCUAGAGGAUGCUGAAAAAAUGCUCAAUCAAUCAGAAAAUGCCAAAAAGGAUUUUUUUCGAAAUUUACCUCAUUGGAUUCAGCAGCAUACUGCCAUGAACGAUGCUGGCAAUUUUCUAAUUGAAACCUGUGAUGAGAUGGUUUCCCGUGACCUGAAGCAGCAAUUACUGUUGCUAAAUGGGCGGUGGAGGGAGUUGUUUAUGGAAGUCAAGCAAUAUGCUCAAGCUGAUGAGAUGGACAGAAUGAAGAAGGAAUACACAGACUGUGUUGUUACCCUGUCUGCUUUUGCAACGGAAGCCCAUAAGAAAAUUUCUGAACCCUUAGAAGUCUCUUUUAUGAAUGUCAAGUUAUUAAUUCAAGACUUGGAGGAUAUUGAGCAGAGGGUGCCUGUGAUGGAUGCCCAAUACAAGAUAAUUACCAAGACAGCACACCUCAUUACCAAAGAAAGCCCCCAAGAAGAAGGAAAAGAAAUGUUUGCAACCAUGUCAAAGCUCAAAGAGCAGCUAACCAAGGUCAAAGAAUGUUACUCCCCACUCCUUUAUGAGUCUCAGCAGCUGUUGAUUCCGUUGGAGGAAUUAGAAAAGCAGAUGACGUCCUUUUAUGACUCACUUGGGAAAAUCGAUGAAAUUAUCACAGUUCUUGAGCGUGAGGCACAAUCGAGUGCUCUUUUUAAACAAAAACAUCAG